rnacentral:rRNA from 1 species
UAAGCGGAGGAAAAGAAACUAACAAGGAUUCCCCUAGUNACUGCGAGUGAAGCGGGAAAAGCUCAAAUUUAAAAUCUGGUGGUCUUUGGCCAUCCGAGUUGUAAUUUAGAGAAGCGUCCUCCGCGCUGGACCGUGCACAAGUCUCCUGGAAUGGAGCGUCAUAGAGGGUGAGAAUCCCGUCUUUGGCAUGGACACACCAGGGCUUUUGUGAUGCGCUCUCGAAGAGUCGAGUUGUUUGGGAAUGCAGCUCAAAAUGGGUGGUGAACUCCAUCUAAAGCUAAAUAUUGGCGAGAGACCGAUAGCGAACAAGUACCGUGAGGGAAAGAUGAAAAGCACUUUGGAAAGAGAGUGAAACAGUACGUGAAAUUGUUGAAAGGGAAACGCUUGAAGUCAGUCACGUCGACCGAGACUCAGCCUUGCCUCGGCUUGGUGUACUUCUCGGCUGACGGGUCAGCAUCAAUUUUGCCCCUUGGAUAAUGGCGAGGGAAAUGUGACACCUUUAUGGUGUGUUAUAGUCUCUCGUCGCAUGCAAGGGUUGGGAUUGAGGAACUCAGCACGCGCCCUUUGGGUGUCGNNGCUUUGCCCACGAUACGUGCUUAGGAUGUUGGCAUAAUGGCUUUAAACGACC